UGAGGAAUAUUGGGCAAUGCCCGCAAGGGUGACCCAGCAACGCCGCGUGGAGGAUGAAUGUCGUAAGAUUGUAAACUCCUGUUAGAGGGGAAGAAUAGUACCGGUUGGACCGGUAUAUGACUGUACCCUCAGAGAAAGCCCCGGCUAACUACGUGCCAGCAGCCGCGGUAAUACGUAGGGGGCAAGCGUUGUCCGGAUCUACUGGGUGUAAAGGGCGCGCAGGCGGGAUAAAAAGUCAGUGGUGAAAUCCUACAGCUUAACUGUAGAACUGCCUUUGAUACUUUUAUUCUUGAGUUCGGGAGAGAGAGACGGAAUUCCAGGUGUAGUGGUGAAAUACGUAGAUAUCUGGAAGAACACCAGUUGCGAAGGCGGUCUCUUGAUCCGACACUGACGCUGAGGCGCGAAAGCGUGGGGAGCAAACA
rnacentral:rRNA from 1 species